AUUAUUUUUUCUUAUUGAGCUGUCAAACUUAGCCUUCUCCAAGUGACAUCUGUUAUCUGAAAUUGGGAUAGGAAGGGUGUUUCUAUUAAAAAUUGUUUUAAAUUUGAUUAUUUAGAAUUCUUUACUUAACUCCAUUUCAAUUGUGAUUUCUAGAAUAUCAAAGAGUUUGAGAAUUUUAUUUAUUUAUUUAUUUUAAUUUUGGAUUGGUUAGUUAACGUCAUUCAUAUGUUGUGCUUUGGGAGUUAAUAUGUGAAAUGAUGAGAUGCCAUUGGCCUUAAGGUUCCGGGUGUUAAAAUACUACCUUAAAUAGAGGAAAUGGUGGAAGCUAAUGAAGCCGAAGGGAUUGACUCUUGAGGAUUUGGAGUUUCCGGCCACCGCUGGUGGGGGUGCUGAGCGCAAGUGUAGAUGAAAGACGGGGCUGCUUUAGCUUUGGAGGUUUAGUGUGAGUGGUAGUAGCUCUUAUACUUCUAACAGAAGGGGCAAUGGCUUCUACAAGUGAUGCGGAUGCAUCUGAUCUGGAGAGCAUUAGGAGAAAGUUGAUCUAGAGAUUGGCCAGCAAUUGGGAAGAAGUUGUAAAGAUAUACGAGCAAGAUCCAAGAGCUCACAAGAUCAAGAUCGGCCCAUCAAAGAACACAGCAUUGCAUAUAGCAGUUUCAAGUGGGCGAGAAGACGUAGAAAAACUAGUGAAAUUGAUUGCUAAGAAUAGUAACCCCGUGGAUGUUCUAUCUAUAGAGAAUAGAGAUCGGAACAAUCCUCUCCAUCUGGCGGCCUCACUGGGAAGCAUUUCCAUUUUCAGAUGCAUCACUGGUGAGUAUAAAGAACUGUUGGGUUGCCGCAACCGAGUGAGUGAUACGCCCCUUUUAAGGGCAGUUCGCUAUGGCAGAAAAGAUGUUUUCCUCUCGUUGUAUGAUAUGUGCGACACCACCUCAGCCCAUGACUACUGUCAUGACAUGGAGGGUAAAAAGGUUCUCCAUCUUGCCAUUGAAGGAGGACACAUGGAUUUGGCGUUUCAAAUUAUUGGUAAGCAGGAAGAUCUCAUGGAUUCUGUUGACUGGCAUCAAAUCUCCCCUCUGCAUGUCCUAGCUGAGAAGCCUACUUGCAAUCAUAAAAACUUGGGACUGAAUUAAAUCAGCGCGCACAUCAUUUGUUAUCUUGUAUCUGAUAUCUCCAUCAAGGCCAUAAAUUUCCGAUAGUUUCCCUUGUUAAUCAAAUUGGAAGGUAUUUUUAUUUUAGAGCUCGUCCCAGGGACUUCCAAAGCAGAGAAGAACAUCUUUCAAGAGCUACAAAAGAUGAUUAAAUUACCAGGAAAAUCUAAAAAGCACUUGGAUCCAGAGAAUCCUGAAGAAGGGCAAGGCAUUGAACUUCAUGGUCAUAAUUCAAGCAAUAUUGGAGCUCAAGGACACAAACCAUUCCCCUCAAAAUAUGGCAGAUGCCAGAGGUUCAUCAAGCUUCUUGUAUCCCAAGUACUGCUGGUUAUCAUCUCCGUACUGCCAGGUUCAAGUCGGAUAAGGAAGCUAAAAGAGAAAAAGGAGAUGCAUGUGUGGUCUCUUCAGAUCAUGGACAAGCUACUUGAACAUGCUGCAAGGCGUACAGAUGAAAUAAAUCCCAAUUGUUUGUUAUUCAGAGUAUGAAUACUUCCGAAGGGGAGGAGCUUCGGAGACACCAAUACUACUUGCAUCAAGAAAUGGUAUAGUGGAAAUGGUAGAGAAAAUCCUGCAACUGUUUCCUAUGGCCAUUUAUGACACCAACGGCUUUAAUCAGAUCAUAGUGCUGACGGCAAUAGAGAAUAGGCAAUCACAUAUAUAUGACUUCUUACUCAACAGUAGUCAUCUUAUUGAUAAAGAAGGUGCAUUUGUUGACAAAGGCGGGAACAGUGCAUUGCAUCUAUUGGAAGUCUAGCAGGUUACCGCCACUUCCAACAUAUCCCCACCAGCAUGUUGCAAAGGCAGUGGGAAGUCAAGUGGUACCAGUAUGUGCAGAAUUCCUUGCUACCAGAUUUUGGGGAAGACAUACUCCAGAUGAGAUUUUCCAAAAAGAACAUCAAAAACUUGAAGAUGAAAGCAAACAAUGGCUAAAUAGCACAUCCAAUUCCUGCUCUUUCAUUGCAGCACUUAUCACAACUGUUGCCUUUGCCUCAUCAGCCUCUGUACCUGGAGGGCUACAAUGGCAAAAUAGCACAUCCAAUGCCAGCUCUUUCUUUGCAGCGCUUAUUGCAACUGUUGCCUUUGCCUCAUCAGCCGGGGUAAAGCAAGACACUGGGGAAUCAGUUUUUGAACACCAUCUGGCUUUCAGUAUAGCAUCGCUAGGUGCUCCUUUCUGUUGAGUGAUCUCCUUGCUAAUAUUCCUCGUCAUUUUCGUCUCCAAGGGUGAAGACAGAUUUUACUACAAACUUGCCGAGGAAAUUUUUAUUUGGUUUAACAUCUGUCUUUAUAUCCAUGGCAGCCAUGUUGACCUGUUUCUGCUCGGGAAACUUCUUGAUGCUUAAAGGGUCAAUUAAAAUAUGCUGCAAUUCUGGUGUAUGCAGUCACCAGCUUGGUAUUGGCCUCCUUUGUUCUGAAGCACUUUCCAUUAUUUUUUGAUCUUCUGAAGGCUGCAUUUCGUAAGGUGCCUGAGCGUAUAUACAAGGAGUAUCCGUAGGUUGCUUUGGUCUAGGCUCAAGGACCUUAUGCCAUGGUGAUGAUGAUGUAAUUUUUCAGUUGUUUUGUGUCUUUCAAAUAUAUGCAACACUGUAAUCUUCUUCCUGGAGUACAGAUUCUUAUCAAAUUGAUUGAUAACACAGAAAUAA